AGUGGGCGGUGGGAGGACAGAGGGAGGAGGGGAAAGCUAGCGCCCGUUAUCAUAACGGGCUUAAAAAUACUAAUAUAAUAUAAUAGUCAGUCUAUGCACAGAAGGUCCAUAAGCACAAUGCAUUUUUUGUUCAGAUGAGUGCUGAGGACCAUUUUAGAAGCAGCACUGGUUUAGCCCAUGAGCCAGGCCCACAAAUUUUGGGCAUCAGUAGCAUCUCAGAGACAAAUGCUCAUAGUGCUUUUUGGCAACAUCUACCCCAUUAGAGAAGGAAAAUAAGCGAUAGCACUGUUGCACUUACCAACUAGAGAUGUGCACGGAAUCAGGCAGGGGUGGUUUGAAGGCGGGUGUGUGUGUGCUGCUUUAAAGGUGGGGGAGGGUGCACAUAUCUUGUCUAAAGUCCCUCGGGGCGGCAGCAUACCUCCCUGCUUCCCCAUUGCCCCAGUUUACUGGAACUUUCCAGAAGUAGCUGGCGCACCAGCACAGACGUACACUAUGUUUCUUCUGCUGGCCUGGACACAAAGGAGGCAUGUCAGCUGCUUUGCAUUCCAGUGGCACCAGAAGAAGCUCAAGUGGAAGAGAGCAAUGAACAAUUUCAGGCAAGAUGCCAACACACUGUGGUAAAAUGCAGGAGAAAGAGCCGCCUCUGCAGAGAAGGCCAUUGCUUGGCAACAGAUAAGAGAGAGUUAUGCAAAGGAAACUCAAACUUGGAGAAGAAACAGAGGAGUAAGAAACGAUGGAAGCAAACAGUCUUGGAGUAGUUGUGUUUGUGAACUCUGUAAGUGAGAGGAGGAUAUGAAAAAGAAAAGAGAAGAUCUUCAUGUAGGAGAAGCUGCUAACCAGGGAGAAUUCAGAACUACACAUUACAUAAGAACAUAAGAACAGCCCUGCUGGAUCAGGCACAAGGCCCAUCUAGUCCAGCAUCCUGUUUCACACAGUGGCUCACCAGACGCCUCUGGGGAGCCCACAAGCAAGAGGUUCCUCAUGUUGCCUAAAGAAAAAGCAUGGAAGGACAAAGAGACUUGGGGAACUACUGAUCCAUUCAUUCCACCCAGAAAUGGUAGCCCAAUUGGGCCUUGGCAUCAUCCUCUGUGUACGCACAACAGCUCUGCCGUUUUGUAACAAAUAAGCCAGAGCAGAAAGAAACAGGUCAAAUCCAUUGAGUGCGGGCUACUGCUUUCUAUUAAAGAUUCCCUCCCUUGGUUAAUCUUCUCUGCAGGAAC